GAUGAACGCUGGCGGCGUGCCUAAUACAUGCAAGUCGAGCGAACAGACGAGGAGCUUGCUCCUCUGACGUUAGCGGCGGACGGGUGAGUAACACGUGGAUAACCUACCUAUAAGACUGGGAUAACUUCGGGAAACCGGAGCUAAUACCGGAUAAUAUAUUGAACCGCAUGGUUCAAUAGUGAAAGAAGGUUUUGCUGUCACUUAUAGAUGGAUCCGCGCCGCAUUAGCUAGUUGGUAAGGUAACGGCUUACCAAGGCGACGAUGCGUAGCCGACCUGAGAGGGUGAUCGGCCACACUGGAACUGAGACACGGUCCAGACUCCUACGGGAGGCAGCAGUAGGGAAUCUUCCGCAAUGGGCGAAAGCCUGACGGAGCAACGCCGCGUGAGUGAUGAAGGUCUUCGGAUCGUAAAACUCUGUUAUUAGGGAAGAACAAAUGUGUAAGUAACUAUGCACGUCUUGACGGUACCUAAUCAGAAAGCCACGGCUAACUACGUG
rnacentral:rRNA from 1 species